AUUGAACGCUGGCGGCAGGCCUAACACAUGCAAGUCGAGCGGAACGAGGGGCGGGCGGGUAAUGCCUAGGUAUCUGCCCGGUCGUGGGGGAUAAAGUCAGGAAACAGGCGGUAAUACAGCACACUAUAAGAUGAGCCUAGGUCGGGUUAGCUAGUUGGUGGGGUAAAGGCCUACCAAGGCGACGAUCCGUAACUGGUAUGAGAGGAUGAUCAGUCACACUGGAACUGAGACACGGUCCAGACUCCUACGGGAGGCAGCAGUGGGGAAUAUUGGACAAUGGGCGAAAGCCUGAUCCAGCCAUGCCGCGUGUGUGAAGAAGGUCUUCGGAUUGUAAAGCACUUUAAUUUGGGAGGCGUUACCAACAGAAUAAGCACCGGCUAACUUCGUGCCAGCAGCCGCGGUAAUAC
rnacentral:rRNA from 1 species